GAGAACACCAUGCACCCCGACUGAGUACCUCCGCCAAUCGCCGCUUCCUAGCUGUCGCUGAAUACCAUAAGCAACGCACACCAUAAGCACCUUGGCCCCUUACCCGCCGCAGCUUGGCUGGGGUCACACCCUGGACCAAACUCUUGGAAUCAGCUCCGAGUGAGAAGACCUCUCCUCCAAGAGAGUAUAGCAGGUUGCUCUUUCAACAGUAAGUGAUUAGAACCC